GAAUUACAUGCCCUUCAGUGGGGAAUAGCCCAGGGAAACUUGGAUUAAUACCCCAUGGUAUCGCGAGAUUAAAGGUGGCCGCAAGGCUGUCGCUGAAGGAUUGGUUCGCGCCCUAUCAGCUUGUUGGUGAGGUAACGGCUCACCAAGGCUACGACGGGUACCUGGUCUGAGAGGACGAUCAGGCACACUGGAGCUGAGACACGGUCCAGACACCUACGGGUGGCAGCAGUCGAGAAUAAUUCACAAUGGGGGCAACCCUGAUGGUGCAACGCCGCGUGGAGGAUGAAGGUCUUCGGAUUGUAAACUCCUGUCAUCUGGGAGUAAGACCUGGCUGUGAAUAGCAGACAGGGUUGAUAGUACCAGAAGAGGAAGGGACGGCUAACUUCGUGCCAGCAGCCGCGGUAAUACGAAGGUCCCGAGCGUUGUUCGGAAUCACUGGGCGUAAAGGGAGCGUAGGCGGCGUGGUAAGUCAGAUGUGAAAUCCCGGGGCUCAACCCCGGAACUGCAUCCGAUACUGCCGUGCUAGAGGAUUGGAGAGGUAGCUGGAAUUCUUGGU
rnacentral:rRNA from 1 species